rnacentral:misc_RNA from 1 species
UGGUUCUGGCAUCGAUGAAGAACGCAGCGAAAUGCGAUAAGUAAUGUGAAUUGUAGAAUUCCGUGAAUCAUCGAAUCUUUGAACGCACAUUGCGCCCUUUGGUAUUCCGAAGGGCAUGCCUGUUCGAGCGUCAUUAAACCCCUCAAGCUCUGCUUGGUGUUGGGCUCUGUCCCCAGGACAAGCCUGAAAAUCAGUGGCGACGCCCUAUGGCCCCAAGCGUAGUAAUCUAUUUUCUCUUGGAGGGCCCGUGGGUAGUCUGUCAGAAGAACCCUAUUUCUCUAGGUUGACCUCGGAUCAGGUAGGAAUACCCGCUGA